ACGCUCCGCAGGAGAGUGGCAGACGGGUGAGUAACACGUGGGAACGUACCCUUUACUACGGAACAACUCCGGGAAACUGGAGCUAAUACCGUAUGUGCCCUUCGGGGGAAAGAUUUAUCGGUAAAGGAUCGGCCCGCGUUGGAUUAGCUAGUUGGUGGGGUAAAGGCCUACCAAGGCGACGAUCCAUAGCUGGUCUGAGAGGAUGAUCAGCCACAUUGGGACUGAGACACGGCCCAAACUCCUACGGGAGGCAGCAGUGGGGAAUAUUGGACAAUGGGCGCAAGCCUGAUCCAGCCAUGCCGCGUGUGUGAUGAAGGCCUUAGGGUUGUAAAGCACUUUCACCGGAGAAGAUAAUGACGGUAUCCGGAGAAGAAGCCCCGGCUAACUUCGUGCCAGCAGCCGCGGUAAUACGAAGGGGGCUAGCGUUGUUCGGAAUUACUGGGCGUAAAGCGCACGUAGGCGGAUAUUUAAGUCAGGGGUGAAAUCCCAGAGCUCAACUCUGGAACUGCCUUUGAUACU
rnacentral:rRNA from 1 species